rnacentral:rRNA from 1 species
CCUACGGGGGGCAGCAGUGGGGAAUAUUGGACAAUGGGCGAAAGCCUGAUCCAGCCAUGCCGCGUGUGUGAAGAAGGCUUUCGGGUUGUAAAGCACUUUCAGUGGGGAAGAAAGCCUUGGGGCUAAUACCCUCGAGGAAGGACAUCACCCACAGAAGAAGCACCGGCUAACUCCGUGCCAGCAGCCGCGGUAAUACGGAGGGUGCGAGCGUUAAUCGGAAUUACUGGGCGUAAAGCGCGCGUAGGCGGUCUGAUAAGCCGGUUGUGAAAGCCCCGGGCUCAACCUGGGAACGGCAUCCGGAACUGUCAGGCUAGAGUGCAGGAGAGGAAGGUAGAAUUCCCGGUGUAGCGGUGAAAUGCGUAGAGAUCGGGAGGAAUACCAGUGGCGAAGGCGGCCUUCUGGACUGACACUGACGCUGAGGUGCGAAAGCGUGGGUAGCAAACAGGAUUAGAUACCCGUGUAGUC